rnacentral:tRNA from 1 species
GCGCCUAUAGCUCAGUUGGAUUAGAGCGUCGCACUACGGAUGCGAAGGUCGGUGGUUCAAAUCCUCCUAGGCGCG